GUCUAGAUGGAAGUCUCUCUCUCUCUCUCUCUCUCUCUCUCUCACACACACACACACACACACACACACACACACAGAGAGAGAGAGAGAGAGAGAGAGAGAGAGAGAGAGAGAUUGAAGGCUAAA